GAGACGUACAGGUGGAAAAGUGCUGCACGGAAAACCUCCAGACUUUUCACAAACCUAAAGCUUUCUACAAUGGAUCACCAGUAAAGACACAAAAUAUUCCAUCUAAAAGGAAACAUUUAGAUAGUAUUCUGGAUGAUCCACGACCAGCAGAGUUCUAGAAUUUGAAGGGGUACAAUGAUCAUGUCAGAAAUUCCUUAAUUAAUUUUUGCUCAACAUCUUCCAUGGAUAUAUCCUUACGCUAUAUAUAUCCAAAAGCAGAUCUUCAAAAUGCAGUUCAUGACCAUGACUAUCUUGAAAGGCCAUUUGCUGAGUAUUGGAUAGAUAAUGCCCUUAAGGUUACUGAGAAUGACUGCAAGGCAAUAGAGAAAUGUACGAGGAAGCAAAGUAAAUGCAAUGAGUGGUUCAGGCAUAGAAAAUGGAGAUUGACUGCGUCAAGAUUUGGGGAAAUUACCAGAAUGACUUGUAGAAGAAACAAAAACAAACUAUGCAAAACUUUAAUUAAUAGCCAUAAAAUAGUUAGAAAGUGUUUGUUACAUGGAAAACAAUUUGAAUCUAAAGCUAUUUGCAAAUUUGAGGCACAAAAAGGUGUAAAAUGUAGGCCCUCAGGCCUGUUUGUUAGACCAGAUUUCCCA